UACAUAUAUGUCCUCGCAUCUCACGAGAUGUAUAUAAUGUAUCUGUAUACCCUGAUGCUUUUGUCGAGAAGGCGCCUCCGAGCCGGGUGCCGAGGCGGCGGAGUCCUGAGAAGGGCCGCUGCUGGCUACGGCGGAGGCGGGUGGCACCGGCGCGAGGCUGCCGUCGUUUCUGUUGGUGUUGGUGGUGGUGGUGGGUUCCUUUGUUGGAUGCAGCGGCGCGGUAGCCGUCACUAGACAACUCCGGCUGCCGUUGCUCGUGGUGGUGGUUCGGCCGCUGGGUUUGAUCAUCGAUGACUCGGAGAAGCUCGCGGCGGAGCCGACGGAGGGGCCGUUAUAAAGAGGGGCGCUCGGCAUCUUUAUCCAUGGGGUCCCACCGCGACCCAGACAUUCGUACAUGGGGGCCCUCACCGGUGAACGGCCUCUUGUAGCCACCUGUAGAUUUGGUCAAACUUGGUCAACUCUAUGGGAUCACUAUGUUUAUUUGUAUGGAGGGUAUACAUAUUUUUUUUGGCUUGGGUAAGAGAAGACGGAGAUGAGUUGGAAGAUGAUGGCAACAUCUGGGUCGUCGGAUUUUGAAAUUCCAAAUCAAGAGGCAACCCCGCUCCACUCCGUAACGCAUUUGAGACGAUCCCAUCAAACAAUCCAAAAAGCUCAACCCCACUCUGAUGUGGUGCAAUUAUUGUGGCAUUCCCCCAAUAUAAAACAGGUGGCCUUCUUUAUUGUCCCGGCAUUAUAUUAAUGAAUGAAAGGAGGGCAGCUAAAACCAAUAUUUUAGCUCGCUCUUCCUCUCUCGAUUCCGUCUUUGAUGGACAUGACUCUUUCCACUUGUUGAAUUCUGGGGAGGGGGGGGGGAGUCUUGAGUGGGAUUCCCAUCGCUUGCAUCCAAACCUGACCGUAUUCUAAUCCAUCAUAUUAUUUUGACCUGCAAACCAAGUCAAUUCUGCAAUAUUUUACGUCGGCAGGACAACUUCCAAUGGCCAUGAUCUCUGAUGGACUGCGGGUCAUGGACCGGACGAAUCAUCAGAUCUAACCUUGCGGUGUGAAUCCUAUUAGCUUUUUUCAGCCGGGGAAGUGUGGCCAGAAUUCUUGGUGGCACGAAGACCGAAGUGGAGGUGGUGGGAGCGCAGUGGAGGGAGGGAAUGGGACAAAAGGUCAUGCUUGGAUGCCCUCAUGGUCCCGCUCCUUUCGCUUUGAACCUGGUCUCGGAAGUAAAUGGGAGAGUGGGAGUGGGGGUGGCGGGGCAAUCCAUUUUUAUAUGCGGCUCGGGUAGAGUGCAGCGAGGAACACAAUCUAUUGUUUAUCCGGUGGUGGUGGUGUCAUGGUGGGGCCGUAAUCUAUGAUGAAAGAACAAGAUUGCUACUCCAAUGACUCUACUCGACUCUAUCGCAUUAAAAUAAUGAUUCAGCAAGGGCAGAAGUGGAUGUCAAUUUUUGACUGGUGACUAAAAAAUGUGGACAGUGGCCUUUAAACUUUACUCUGUUUUCUUUGGAUCUUUUAUCAAGUUGCAGAGCUCACAGGAAGUUGUGGCCACCAAAGUCUCCUCCUCCUCCUCCUCCUCCUCUUUACCCAAGUCGUAUUCCCCUGCCUCUCUGUGUUCUUUCGAGUCCUUUGGAAGGUUAGCAUUUGAUAGAGGAGAACUCAGGUAUUACUAAUUUUCUUGUUUGCUGAUGAUGAUUUAUGCGUUCUUGGUUGCUCUUGAUGCUUAACAAAGAGGGUUUCUUCAUGGUGGAUUUCUUUUCUUGUUCGGGGAAGGCAUAAGGUGGUGUUAUUAGGUGAAAUAUUUCUGUGUGUUGAUACUCAAUGUGUAGGUUUCUGUUCUGUGAUGCAUUUUGUUUGAAGGGACAAACUUCUACCAAGUUAGAUUGCAAAAGAUUGGUUUCUCCUCUCUGUUAAGUGUCCUUGAUUUGACCUGUGAUGUGUGAGAACCGAUCCCUUUUCCCACUGCUGGGACUUCAAAAGGAAUCAAAGAAAGUUCACAAAGGAAAGUUGACAGCCAUGUUAUCUUUAGGGGUGCUCAUCAGGAGAGUGAAAGUUACAUCAUAUUUUAAAGGAAACAUGAGAAGAUCCUCCACAUCUGUCCUGUUUCUAUCUUCUUAUAUUGAGUUAGAACCAUCCCAUUUGUUACUUUUGCAUUUUUGAUGAAUGAUUUAUCUCUCUUACUGAUGCUGGUCCCACACUAAGUUCAGGCAAGCCACAUUGUAAAGAAAUGCAGCAAUUGAGUUAUUGCAUUAUUCGAGCUCUUAUUCAUGGUUGGAAGAGUAAGAACUAAUUACUGUUCCCAAAUGAACAUGUUCUGGUCCUAUAAAGUGAGGAUUUAGUUCACCAUUAGCCUAACCUGAGUAAUAAGAUCAUAUAUGUAUAAAAUGAAUUGAUCAAACUAAUUAUGUAAAGUAUACGCAACCAUGCAGUUUGUAUAUUGCUUCUGUGAUGGGUGAAACAGUUGCCCGGACAAAAGGUGAUCAAGAUAAUCAAAGAGCAAUCACCUUGUACUCUGUGCUGGUGUCUCUCAUAAUCAAGUUAAAACAUUGUCUUGGUGAAAUAAGGUUUCCAGCUAGGAACUUGUAUGGCUAAGAAUGCUCUUCAAGUUUAUACCCGUCCGUGUGCAUGUAAUAUGGUUUGAGCUACAAGUUGAUGGUGCAAGUUCGUUUAUGCAACUUCUUUGGUCAUGAUUCAAGAGUUCAAUAGGGGAGCAGUUCAUCUGGAUACUGCGAUCUAAGCUUGAUAGAAUUGUGCGAGGAAAUGGGGCUCUUCAAAUGGAUCGUGCAAGGGUGCAUCGUAGAAAGGGUAUAUUUACAAAGAGAACCUGUUUUUCGCCGGUUAGCUGUUUGUUCAGUAUUGUAGGAUUCCUGUAGAGAAUAGCUACAUCAUGUUUGGCCGGGUGAUGCCACCACCGACGAAUGCAGGGAGCUCUGCGUGAUGCCGUAAAUAUACCUGACAUUUCAAUGUGCAUGCUACUACCACAUAGCAAGGUCCAAUAGAAGAUGAGGUUGUGCAAAGAUACUUCAACCAUAGAGGGAUAGUAUGACCGAUGGAUGAUGAUUCUGGAUGUCAGGAAGAAGACCUUCCUCUACUCUCUCUCAUUUAUUCAAUCAUCUAAUGUCAUGAGAUAUGACGUUCACUACGACAAUGAAGAAGACCUAUGGUGGUAAAUGGAUCUAUUGGCAAAGGACAGUAAGGCUGUUGCCUGCCCCUAUUUCUUUUUCUCAUCUUCAAUAUUUCUUGAAUAUUAUUUCAACUUCAUAUCCGGAUUCCUGCCUUUAGGUUUGCUGACACUGUGAUCGCAUCAUCAUUCUAUCAAGCAUCUCGGUUGAAUAGCGAUUAGACUUGAUUAACACAUGUAAAAGUUUAGCUACUAAUUGACACUUUAUGUUGGUUAUGGUUGUCCAAUAAAAUUUUGCUUGUAUUAUCAAAUUAAAAUUCCAAUUUGGUUGCAAGAAUGGUUGAUGCUUUCAUGAGAACAUUUUCCAAAAGUAGUAUUUUCCUACACAUCUUGGAUUAUAUGUUUUACCUACUUGCCUUAUGUUUUGAAGAAGCAAUGGGGGUCCGCAGGCUGGUCCCACUUACAUUGGUUCUAUCCUAUUACAAGGCUGGCAAGUGAAACCGGUAGGAAAAAUGUUCCUUUAGUUUGUUGCUAGAGAUUAUUGCAGUGAUAUACACAUCAUUUGCUGUAGCUUCAAACUUGGUGGCAAUUACCAAUCUAAAAAAUAUUUGUGUGCAACAAAUUCGAGCAAACAUCAUUGCAGUUUUAUUAAUGACCAUUGUGACUGUUCUUUCCAUCACAGUACUGACUGAUGAAAAUGAGGUUCAACUCAUAAACUUAAACAUAACUGAUCUAGAGCUAAAGAUAUAAAUCCAUAGCUUAAAACAAUAAAAUAUGGCCAUAAAAUUUUUGAGAAAAUUUAGGAGGACAGCCAUAUAACGAGUUCUCGACAUCUAGGAGAACCAAGGUUUCCACCAAUAAAACAUAAGCAUUAUCUUGCAAUUCCAAACAGAAAUAUAAAAGUUCUUCAAGUUAUGAGUUAGUCUUUUCGUAGAAGACCAGCAUUGAUUUAAGAAACCAUGGAUCAAUUGACUGCAGACCCAAAGAUGGUUGGUGAUAGAGGAAAUUUGCCUAGUCAAUCUUGAUGUGCAUCCCAAUCUUACCAAGUUUGGUUUCCAGUAAUAGUAAGGAUCUUGUCGAGCUAAUGUUUGAUUUUAGCUCCCGCUAGUUUCUGAUAGCUGUUCUUUUAGGAUGUCGGCUGUGUAAAGUAUUAUCGUGGUACUAAUCAAAUUUUCUCUCUCUUUUGUAACCAGUUCUAGAUGAUCAUAUGCUUGUGUUCAUAUCUUUUAUCGAAAAUAAAGAAACUAACAUAAUCUUGUUGUAUCCCAGGAGGUCAAGGAUUUCAUGCUGAACAUGAACAACCGUUGACCUAUGCUUUAUGGUAUUGUUACAAGUCUUGAAGGUCGGACAAUUCAUUGUUUGCAAAGAAUUUUCAAGCACCAAGCAGAAAACAUUAUUCCGCAAAACCUUCAUAACAUGGUGGUGCCAAGAUGUGCAAGUGAUGCUGUUCGACAAGCACCGAUCUGAAAAUUUCUAGCAAUCUUUGCCUGUUUGAAUCCCUCCAAAGAUUUGAUGCUCAGCUUAUACCACGGAAAUCUUGUUGCAACACACACCAAAGAAUUCCCUGGUUUGACUACGGAGCUUGUUCUUCAUGAACCUCAUUCUCAUUUCUAUCUUAUGGUGCUGGCUAUGCGUCUGCAUAUUUAGAUGGCGAAUGAUGACACUCCAUAUUUGUGGUACCACAAGGCAUUGUUGCUUGCUUGGAUGCUGUCCAAGGAAAGAAGGUCUGUUCAUUGAAAGAAAGACCUUGUUUCUACCAAAUGCUGGUGCUGGUGACACUGGAACUAUUAUCUACAGAAAUUUCUCUUGUUGCAUUGGGAAUUCCCAUUGCUUGAAUAAAUCGAUAGAAUGAUUCAAAUUAACUAUCAAAUGCAUUCUACAUUCCUAGCACAGACAAGAAGUGAGAUUAAGUAUCAACGUUUCCAUUAAUGAUGUUGAUGUUUAGGCUUU